rnacentral:tRNA from 2 species
UCGGAUAUGGUGUAGUGGCUAACAUUAUCGCCUCUCACUGCUGUGAUCGCGAUAGCCCGGGGUUCAAUUCCCCGUAUCCGAA